UACGGGGGGGGCAAGCGUUGUUCGGAAUCAUUGGGCGUAAAGCGCGCGUAGGCGGCCCGGUAAGUCCGCUGUGAAAGUCAAAGGCUCAACCUUUGAAUGUCAGCGGAUACUGCCGGGCUAGAGUCCGGAAGAGGCGAGUGGAAUUCCUGGUGUAGCGGUGGAAUGCGCAGAUAUCAGGAGGAACACCAACGGCGAAGGCAGCUCGCUGGGACGGUACUGACGCUGAGGCGCGAAAGCGUGGGGAGCGAACAGG
rnacentral:rRNA from 1 species